CCAUCAGUUCCUAAUGCAUUGCC
rnacentral:miRNA from 1 species